GACGAACGCUGGCGGCGUGCUUAACACAUGCAAGUCGAACGGAAAGGCCCUGCUUUUGUGGGGUGCUCGAGUGGCGAACGGGUGAGUAACACGUGAGUAACCUGCCCUUGACUUUGGGAUAACUUCAGGAAACUGGGGCUAAUACCGGAUAGGAGCUCCUGCUGCAUGGUGGGGGUUGGAAAGUUUCGGCGGUUGGGGAUGGACUCGCGGCUUAUCAGCUUGUUGGUGGGGUAGUGGCUUACCAAGGCUUUGACGGGUAGCCGGCCUGAGAGGGUGACCGGCCACAUUGGGACUGAGAUACGGCCCAGACUCCUACGGGAGGCAGCAGUGGGGAAUAUUGCACAAUGGGCGGAAGCCUGAUGCAGCAACGCCGCGUGCGGGAUGACGGCCUUCGGGUUGUAAACCGCUUUCGCCUGUGACGAAGCGUGAGUGACGGUAAUGGGUAAAGAAGCACCGGCUAACUACGUGCCAGCAGCCGCGGUGAUACGUAGGGUGCGAGCGUUGUCCGGAUUUAUUGGGCGUAAAGGGCUCGUAGGUGGUUGAUCGCGUCGGAAGUGUAAUCUUGGGGCUUAACCCUGAGCGUGCUUUCGAUACGGGUUGACUUGAGGAAGGUAGGGGAGAAUGGAAUUCCUGGUGGAGCGGUGGAGUGCGCAGAUAUCAGGAGGAACACCAGUGGCGAAGGCGGUUCUCUGGGCCUUUCCUGACGCUGAGGAGCGAAAGCGUGGGGAGCGAACAGGCUUAGAUACCCUGGUAGUCCACGCUGUAAACGGUGGGUACUAGGUGUGGGGUCCAUUCCACGGGUUCCGUGCCGUAGCUAACGCUUUAAGUACCCCGCCUGGGGAGUACGGCCGCAAGGCUAAAACUCAAAGGAAUUGACGGGGCCCCGCACAAGCGGCGGAGCAUGCGGAUUAAUUCGAUGCAACGCGUAGAACCUUACCUGGGUUUGACAUGGAUCGGGAGCGCUCAGAGAUGGGUGUGCCUCUUUUGGGGUCGGUUCACAGGUGGUGCAUGGCUGUCGUCAGCUCGUGUCGUGAGAUGUUGGGUUAAGUCCCGCAACGAGCGCAACCCUUGUUCACUGUUGCCAGCACGUUAUGGUGGGGACUCAGUGGAGACCGCCGGGGUCAACUCGGAGGAAGGUGGGGAUGACGUCAAGUCACCAUGCCCCUUAUGUCCAGGGCUUCACGCAUGCUACAAUGGCUGGUACAGAGAGUGGCGAGCCUGUGAGGGUGAGCGAAUCUCGGAAAGCCGGUCUCAGUUCGGAUUGGGGUCUGCAACUCGACCUCAUGAAGUCGGAGUCGCUAGUAAUCGCAGAUCAGCAACGCUGCGGUGAAUACGUUCCCGGGGCU
rnacentral:rRNA from 1 species